UUACGGUCAAAUCACGCUGAAAACACCGGUUCUCGUUCGAUCACCGAAGUUAAGCAUCACCGUACUUAGAUGGGGGACCGCUUGGGGAACACCUGGUACUGUAAG